ACGUGAGCUGAGCGAGCUACGGUCACACUCACACGCAUCCCCGGAGCAUCGCGAUGUCCUCGAACUCGAACUCGAACUGGAACUGAACUCGCUCGGAGCUGCGCCCACACCAAAUGUCCUCGAAGCAGCAGUCCUCCGCCGCGGUGGCCGAGGCCGUGGCCAGCUGCAAACUGAAGAAGCAGCAGCGCCGUCGCCUGGCGGCCUUCGACUUCGACCACACGAUCGUUUCGCAGAACACGGACACCGUGGUGCGCGACCUGCUGCCCACGGAGGUGACCAGCGCCCGGGCCAACGAGCUCGUGGAGAACGACUGCUGGACGGAGUACAUGGCCGAGGUGUUUCGCCUGCUGCACGAGCAACAGGUGCCGGAGGCGCGCAUCCGGGACACCAUUCGCGGCAUUCCCGAGGUGCCGGGGUUCGUGCGGCUCAUCAAGCACCUGGCCAAGCGGCUGCACUACGACCUGAUCAUCAUUAGCGACUCGAACAGCGUCUUCAUCGAGGAGUGGCUGCGGGCGCACAACCUGGCCGACUGCUUCGUGGCCGUCUUCACCAAUCCGGCGGAAUUCGACGCCUCCGGGCAGCUGAUGGUCCGCCCCCAUCACCAGCAGACGGACUGCAAGCUGAGCGCCAGCAAUCUGUGCAAGGGCCGCGUCCUCGAGCACUUCGUCAUCGAGCAGGACCUGCGGCGCAGCAUCCGCUACGACCACGUCUUCUAUGUGGGCGACGGCAACAACGACAUCUGCCCCGUGCUGCGCCAGCGGGCCUGCGACUUUGCCUGCGCCCGCAAAGGAUUCGCCAUGGAGAAGCACCUGCUGCGCAACCGCAGCAAGUUGAAGCUGCGCGCCCAGCUGCUGGUGUGGAAGAGCGGCUUCGACCUGAUGGACCAGAUGCUGGCCCUGCCGCAGCUGCAGACCCCGCAGGUCUCAAGUGAUCGGGAUGCGGUUGGUGGCGGGGAUCCGGACACCAAAGUCGACGCUCCGGAGGUGACGGCCCGGCGGGCCUCGGCGGUCGCCGGACCGACCAAGUCACCGAACUAAGGAGGCAUGUAUCCGCAUUUGGAGGCCUAGACGAGUAUGUAGUUGCUUUGACUGGCAUCCUAGAACCGUACGAACCACAUAGCCAAACUCAUUUCUCACUUUUGCCUUGGAAGUCAAUCGGGAAUUCUUCAGAACAAGAAGGACCUAAAUGCGCUAAUAUACAUACUUUGUAACUUUAGUCACGCAAAGUUAAAAAUGAAUUUCUCAACGAAAUAAGAACGCAAAUUCUUUAGGAGAAGAUCAAGUGAAACCAGCAAGAUCAAUAGAACUUAUAUACCUUGUAGUGUUAUGACUGAAUUCUUCAGCGAAUCAAGAACGCUAGUUCUUUAGGGCAAGGGAUUUUAGAAAGAUCGAGCAAGUAUAUCCAAAUUGGUAAAUCAAGAUUUGUAAGAGCGCAGAAAAAAAUCGAAAUACAUCAUUUUAAAUAUACGGUUUUACGAUGUCGACUGCAACUCGUGUAGGCCUUGAAUCCGCAUCCCCAUAGCCAUACCUAUCCGCAUCCGCAUCCCCAUCCCAUCAUCGUUGUUUCAUCCAUAUGGUCUGGUCUGUUUUAUCGUUUAAAGCUCCCCCCUUUUUAUUGCACCGUCUAUGCUAAGUAUGCUAAGUGGACCUAUAGCCUGUGAGAAGGUGCGCCAGUUCAAGGGGUCAAUUUUGGGCUGCGGCUGUUAAUGUUUAUUCCAUGUGUGUGUAUAUUGUAUCUUGUUGUAAUUGAAAUUAUCGCAAGCUGUAUAUGAGUGUCCAUAUUAUAUGCAUUUGAAUGUGUGUUUUGCCGUUACUGCA